ensembl:piRNA 21ur-1694 ncRNA
UAUUGACUAUGAGAUCUGAAC